rnacentral:rRNA from 1 species
GAGUUUGAUCCUGGCUCAGGACGAACGCUGGCGGCGUGCCUAAUACAUGCAAGUCGAGCGAGCUUGCCUAGAUGAUUUUAGUGCUUGCACUAAAUGAAACUAGAUACAAGCGAGCGGCGGACGGGUGAGUAACACGUGGGUAACCUGCCCAAGAGACUGGGAUAACACCUGGAAACAGAUGCUAAUACCGGAUAACAACACUAGACGCAUGUCUAGAGUUUGAAAGAUGGUUCUGCUAUCACUCUUGGAUGGACCUGCGGUGCAUUAGCUAGUUGGUAAGGUAACGGCUUACCAAGGCAAUGAUGCAUAGCCGAGUUGAGAGACUGAUCGGCCACAUUGGGACUGAGACACGGCCCAAACUCCUACGGGAGGCAGCAGUAGGGAAUCUUCCACAAUGGACGAAAGUCUGAUGGAGCAACGCCGCGUGAGUGAAGAAGGGUUUCGGCUCGUAAAGCUCUGUUGGUAGUGAAGAAAGAUAGAGGUAGUAACUGGCCUUUAUUUGACGGUAAUUACUUAGAAAGUCACGGCUAACUACGUGCCAGCAGCCGCGGUAAUACGUAGGUGGCAAGCGUUGUCCGGAUUUAUUGGGCGUAAAGCGAGUGCAGGCGGUUCAAUAAGUCUGAUGUGAAAGCCUUCGGCUCAACCGGAGAAUUGCAUCAGAAACUGUUGAACUUGA